rnacentral:lncRNA from 1 species
AAACAAUUUAUUCUUCCCCGAAUUAACUCUUUGUGGUUUGUGGAGCAGCCUUAUAUGUAUCGAGAUGUAUUUUAUUAUGUCUUCAUGGGUAUCUGGGACCUGGUAGAGUUAGUGGGACUUGGGAGUAGGAAUGGGAGAAAGGGGCAGCAUGAUCUUACUAUGCAGACUGUAUUUCCAGAAACCUGCUCAGCCAGCUCCUGAUGGAGAACACAUGCAGGAAGAAGUUGGUCCCACUGAAGCAGGAGAGCAAGGAGGGACAUCUUGAGUGUGCACUGAACCAGAAAUAUUUGGUUGACUUCAACAAGAAAGAUAAAGACCAGCAACGUCCAGACCCAGCAUCAUCUGGUCUCAGAAAGUGCAAGAGAGCUGGAAUUGGACACACCCCAGUAAGAGAGCUUCCUGAAGAAUAAGUUGCUUUCUCAGGAGUCCCUGAUGACAAACAUCCUGAAUGAAAACACCACUUAAGAGACAACUUGGGGGACCGCCUUUCAUUAUGUGUGCUAGAGUAGAAACAGCAAU